GCCCCGCUGAUGUUAUUGGUAACAUACUUCUCUCGUAAAGAAGCUAACUCGGUUCGAUUCCGAGGCGGGGCUC
rnacentral:tRNA from 3 species